CAAAAAGAAAAAAAAUAGAUACAAAAUAUUCUGAAUGAUAUUAAACAAACUUAAGGAACAACCGGAAGAAGAAAGGAAAAGAUAGUAAGCUUGGGACCAAUUACUUUCCAGCUUAAACUCAAUAACUCCGCACUUACUAAGCACGAUAAUAUUUAACAAAAUGUACUAUCUGAGUAUACAUCAAGUAAGGGGGCGUAUACGUAACUAUAGUUAAAGUGCAUAAAAAUGAGCAAGAUGCAAAAACGAAAAGACCCGAAAUAUUAUAUGUGAAAGUAAGCAAAAAACACUGAACUUUUCCAGAAAUCCACUGCAUGUAGCUGAAUGAAAAAUGUCAAAGGAAACGAAAAAUUAAGAACUGUUGAAUAUUUAUUGCGCUUACUUGCAAAUUAGUGUGCAAACGGUGGUGUGUCGAAGCGAAAAAGUAGUUUGAAAGUACAAUUGAGUGUUUGUUAAUGAAAUGUCAAUAAGGGAAUGCAAUUAAAGACUCAACAACUGCAACAGUAAAGAAGUUGAUGUUGGUCGAAAGCGGCAAACGGGAAACAGAUACAGAAAGUGUUCAAAAAGAAAGUAACUAAAAAACUUUUAUGUUGCACAAUGUUAACAGAGGCGCAACCAGUACUAGUUGAGGCCUGUGGGAGCACUGCGCAUAUGAAAAUCGCUUUUUGUAACUGCGAAAACAACAAGGAAAAUACCAAAUAUGAAAACAACACAUACAACAGCAAUCAACAUGCUUGCCACACGUACAACACGCGUGCCAUAAGCUACGAAAAACGAUUUUUCAGCAAAAAGUUUAGUCUACUUUUAGGCGUUCGCUCAAGUAAUCAAGUAAAAUGUGUGCUAACGCGGGAGUUGUGUUUUUUCCAUGCUUGUAGACGACGCAGAAAGCGCAGAAAGACCAAGAGUGUUGGAAAGAAGAACACCAACAACAACAUCAAUAACAAAUGUAGCUGCAACAUGCGUACAACAAGCGCUAGGUAUUGCAAAAUAAGAAGAAGAAAACGCAUACUCCGUUGGCAAAUUACAAGCGGUGGUAGUAGUUGUUUCGACGAGGCAACAAGAACAACAUCAAGCUUAAUGCUUGCGGAUUACAUUGACAACGGCAUGUUGCAAGCGCGAAAUAACAAUUGCCUGCGAACGGAAGCGCGAGCAACAACCAAGAACGCUGUUGCUACGCAGAUGAUGCCUGCUUCACCACCACCAACAAAAACCACAAUAGCAAGACUAAUGAUAAAGCUCGUGAAGCGCGAUUGUUGGUUAGGCAAGCGGCGACUGUGGGCAGCGUUGAGCAGAGUAAAGCAGAAGCUAACUAGGUGCAACUACAUGUUGUCUCCUGUGCAACAACAGCAACAGCAACGCAUUCAACAACAACUUCCUACACCUGCCACUGCAAACGCAUUAUCGUGCCGGCUUCCGACUGAUGGCGAGCAAAUGCCGUUAGAAGGACAAGCUAGAACACAUGAGCAGCACAAACUAAAACAAGAUCUCCAACUAGAACAACAACAACAACACUGCCUACUACAAACACAGCAACAACAUGCCAACAAUGUGCAACAUCGAAGUUGGCGAAAUUUAAUUGGAUGUGCUGCAGCAAGCACAUUUACCCCGUUGACAGUCACUAAUUUAAUAAAUACAAUUACAACAACAACAAAUAAUCCCACGACUAAAACAACAAACAGCUCGUCGCCUGCCGCGCUUGUAACCGCAAAAAUUUGUACGCAGAAAAUCGUUGCACAGGCAACAGUAGACAUAACAGACACGAGAACAACAACAGCAACAACAACAAAAAUGACCACACAGCGCCGCCUGCUUAACACCACCGCGCCACUCAAAUCUAAGUGUGGGAGCGGUAGUAGCGUGUUGACAAGCGCAUUAAGGGCGAGAGAGAAAACAACAAAAACAACACGUAUCACAACCACGCAUCAAAUAAUAAAAACUGAAAACGCGACUGAAAAAUUAAAAUUAGCUCAAAGCAGAACAGCAGCGGUCGUGUUCAGUGAUAUUUUAACACUAGUUUUUGGUGUGCUGACGUUGCAAGCAACCGUGCUGCGUUGCCUCCUUUUGCCGACAUUGAUGGCGCUGCUGAUGAUGGCGACUACGUCGUCCACUGUGUCGGCCGUACCCUUGGUGGAGCUGAGCUCACUGCAUUUACCGACACAUCAACAAGCGAGGGAGAAAGACUACAGCAGCAGCAGUAGCAACAACAACAGUUACAGUGACAAUAAUAACAACAGUCCAUUCAACGUAUUAAGCAACAGCAAUAACUUAACUUUCGAAUCAACUUCAAUACAAACUUACAAUCAACGAAACACACAGCUCUUGUUGACCACACCCCCCGAGUCACUCUUGCGCGCCACCCCGCCACCAGCGAGACUAGCGCGUAUGUUGGACAUUGAGGUGUUGAAUGGCAGCAGCAGAGGUAGCAGCGCAAACACCUUGAAGAGUCUUUCAUCUACCCUACACAUGGAGGGGUUGCAGGAGUUAGGCCAAGAGGAUGUAAAUCAGUUGCCAAUCUUUGACUUUGGACUGCCGCGUAAUAUAACGGCACGUACCAGUCAAGCGGAAGCCACAAUUAAAUGUCGGGUCGAGCGUUUGGACGACAAGUCGGUCUCGUGGAUACGUAAACGUGAUUUACAUAUACUGACCGUUGCCACAGCGACGUAUACAUCGGAUAAACGCUUUCAGGUGACUUCCUCAAAAGAUGAUCGUGAAUGGGUGUUACAUGUUAAAUCGCCGCAGGCACGUGAUACCGGCAUCUAUGAAUGCCAAGUGAAUACGGAGCCAAAAAUGUCAAUGGCGUUUCAGUUGAAUAUUAUCGAGAUACCCGCCGAUUCACGCGCCAUCAUCAGCGGCCCAGCGGAUCUGCAUUUCAAAGUCGGCAGCGCAAUUAUACUCAACUGUCAUGUGCAACAGCCGAGCAUUCGUGAUAUUGGACCGAUUUAUUGGUAUCGCGGUGAGCAUAUAAUUACGCCAUUCGAGCUCGACGAUGACGACGAUGAAGUCAGCAAGAGUAGCAGCAACAACAACGGUCAUACUCAUAGCUACGGCAUUGACAUUGCCACACCAGCAUUGGCAGACAAUGAGCUGGAAGUUGAUGUGACAGCGACGAUAACAAAUGCCAAUGCCUUUCCCGGCGGUGGAGCUGGAGCUGGAUCUGUUGCCAUCGCUGGAGGCAGAGGUCGUACGAAGGCGGCAGCUGCGACGACGACAAGUGCGUUGGCAGUGCAACAUGACGGCUUAAGCAACGACAUAACGCCGGACUUUACGGCGCGCAUUGCAAUGGAAUCACAGUUGGGUGACACAAUGAAAUCAAGGUUGCGCAUCUCGAAUGCACAGACAAGGGAUACAGGGAAUUACACUUGUCAGCCGACAACAGCGAGCAGCGCCAGCGUCAUGGUACACGUGAUUAAUGAUGAAAAUCCGGCGGCCAUGCAAAAAAGCAGCGCCAGUUCAAUACACACAACAACAACAGCAACAACGAAGACAAAGCUCCAAACAAACACGCUGUACCUACUGUUGCUGACAGCAAUAGCGACGACAACAGCAGCAAUGGCAGCAGCAGCGACAACAACAACACUGCUGCUGGAAACACUAAUGACAACGGCGCUCGUAAUAACGAGUACAACAGCAAUAAAAGCAGCAACAACAGCAACGAGGCUAUUAUCCUGCUACUUCUCUACCGACACAGUGCGACAGGAAGUGAGCUGCUGUCGUGGUCAGUAUCACCAUCGGCAGCAUCAUCAGCAGCACCAGCUGGCGCUACACAAGCAACAAAGCAAACAGUUGACGUUCGAGUUGGAGCUUUAGUUGUGACAGUGGCAGUAGCUGGAGUAACAACAAAAACAAAAGCAACAGCAGUAGUGUACUAAACAGCCAUAAGGGGAUCCUGCGGAAUGUCUCAAGCAGUGGUCUUUAGUGAUAUUUUUGUUGUAGUUUUCUAUUUUUGCUUCUUUGCUUUCGAUUGCGCUUUCGUUUCAUUUACCAGAUUAUUUUAACGGUUGUUUUAGAUAUAAAUGUAUUUUUUAUUAGAGUAUCUUUAUAUAUUUUGGCCAGUUAGAGCUGUCAUCGAGCUGAGUUUAUCGAAACAGAGGCAUGAACCGAAAAACUGCUACCAGCUGCAUCAACCGAGUAAGUCUUAUAAGAGUUGGAGCCGGGAACCAAGCUCUCAUGGUAUAUUUCACGUAGCCGAUGUAGGAACUAGAGACUGCACAACUAUCUGAGGUCCGAGCACUUUGCAAGGUGCAAUCAAUCGCAAUUCUACUUUCUACUUCAGACCAAACCUGGGCUUCGACAAAGAGUUGAGAAACCCAGAUAUUGAGUCAUACUUUGAGAUUAGUAUGAACGGAAGCUGGGGUUUCAGUGGUAAUGUGAGAUAAUCCGCAGCACCACUCUUUCAGCACUGAAGUCUUAAUGAACACUGUAAGUGCAAGACGUCCGUUUGAAAAUACUGUGCCAGCCCCGGUUGGGCUUACCAAGAAAUUUCGGAGCAUAGGUCUUCGAUGCUUCCGAAUGUGCAGAUCAUACUCAUCUCACCCUUAUCAGGACCGUAAAUGAUCACCAAACAAACAGCCAAAUCUGCUCCCACAUCUCAGAUGUUAGUCAUAAUAUCAAUACCAACAACAAUGUCAGCCUUGAAGUCCAAUGUAGAGAAUUUUUGGCCAAGAGGUGAUACUUCGACUAACCAGCACCAAACUCUACAAGUACCGUACUGUUAUGGUCAUGACCUCAGAUUGGCAGAGAAAGAGACAAAUCUGUAUUGUGCUAGAAAUCAAAAAGAGGAGGAUCUGGUGGUUGUACCGGCCUUGUCCGACUAAAUGCUAAAUGGUGAAAAGAAGAAACAACUGGCGUCACUAAAUAAGCGGAAGAAAUGAAAGAGCUCGAUGAGAGCGUAAGUGUCGUCCACGUUUAGCCGAAGUUUAAAAACUUCAAAGCCGUAGUAUUUGACCCCUACCGAGGCAACCGAGAGUUGAUAGUGCGCGGAAGCCGAAGAUUUGAAGUUUAUUACCAUCGAAGACGGGCACAUUCGGAAAUACAGCCGGCCAUAUCGUCACUUCAUAUCCGACACCGAAGUUCCGCCAUCAAAGUUCCUCUAACAAACAUCGUAGCUGAUGUUACAAGCUAAAGCUGCUGCUGCCGUUGGCUAGCGACACUGUCAACCCAGCUGAUAGUAACAAGCAUAACAACAACAACAACGCUGGUAGGUUAUUACUGUAAACAUAAUGUCAGGUGCCUGGCAGCUCUUUCACAUCGCCGGGCUUGAAUGCGUUUGUCAGUGGCAGUUGCUGGACGUAAGCUCAUCAAGAACAGCAGCAAUAGCGGCAACAGCAAAAACACUGCAAUGCAAGCAUGAUUGGUAGCCGCAAAACGGAAAAAGAAACUGCGAGUGUUAAGCUCGCUAUGAGCUUUACGUCUCAUUCUUCUGGGUUUUCUUCAUUUUCUUCUUGUUCCACAAUGUCGUUCCUGCUUCUUCUCCUUCUCUUGCUUCCUUUAAAUUUAUUUUACUCUUCCACGCAGACUGCGUCUCUGCCUGCUCUGGGUCUUACUCUGAACUUUUGCAUGCAACCAACUUUAGUGACUACACAUUCUUCCUGUCUCGUGCUGACGCAUUUGAGCAAAGAAAUUCCAAGCACACACAUUGCUUCGCAGGGCUUACGGAAAUCAAAAAAAAAAAACAAAUUACAGAAGAAGACUAAGCAGAUGACGUUCCAAAUAGCUGACGUCUAAGAAAAUGUCGUUGCCAAUGAGGAAGACCACCAGGCAGUGAAACAAUCUCAUUGAGAGACUACCGUCUUUGUACAGCGACAACGCAACAUUGCAGCAAUAAAACUCUAUGGGACAUGCCACUCAAGGGAGAACUGCGUAUUGGAAAGUCCACACCCAUACAUGCGCACUCCCACACACACGCCGUUUACAAGGAAUUCCUUAGCUGCCUGGGCAUUGUUGUUGGCGCGUACUCUGAGCCCUUAUGGACAUUGGUUACUUCAUUUGCUGAUUGCUUGUCCGUACAGGAAGCGUUGUAAAUAUGUAAAAUAUUACUUGGGCUCUGGAUUCACGGUGACAUGAGAAAAGGGGCGGGGAGGGGAGGAAGUAAGCAAAUCAAAUAUUAACAAAGCACCAAAAUUACGAAGAGGCAAAAAAAGAAAAUAAAUAAAUAGGAUCAAAUUAAGCAAAUAAAUAUAGACGAUGUGCAGGCGCAACGAGUGAGACAGCCGAGGUGAAUGAUUCACUUACCGAGUAGAGAAUUGAGGCAACAGAACACAACAAACCGCUUAAAUAUUUGCAUUUCAUUUUGUUAAAAGGCCAAUGAAGUAGACAAAGAAAUGGAAUUCGUGGUAAUUCUUAAGUCGACAUCAAUUACAGUUAUACAAAAUAUUAUGCACGCAGCGCUCAGAGAGAGAGAGAGAGAUAUUUUGUAUCAUACAAAGCUCUUUUCCUUUUAAAGCUUUAUAAAAAAAAUAUUUUUAGCUCUUCUUCUUCUUAUAUCUCCAGAAAUUGUCACAAACCACCACGAGCCAAAACCAAUGUGUUUGUGCUAUACAUAAAGUUCCCGAUGUUUCUUUUGCAGUUUGGCUUAAGCGUAGUCUCAAAUCGUGGUUUUUAGGUUCCUCUCACAAAAACUGGUUGAUGCUUCUUCGAUUGAACAAUCUCUUUCUACAUUAAUUUACUUUUCGAGCUCUUUACUAAUUUUCGUUUAAGAAUAUAGUCGAAGUCUUGAGGUUCUACUUCGUCACUAGCGUCCACACCGCUUACACUCACCCGCCUUUUCGUUGCGUGACCCAUUCAUUUUAAUUGAGGAUCUACACGUCCUCUGUUAGCACCGGCAGCUCCAGCAUCGACCACAUAAUCUAGCCAGCGUAGUUGCAGGCUCUUGUUUUAGCAGUAUUCUCUUUUGUGUGGCACGUCCGUGCACAUGGUCUUAUAUAUAGAAUAGAAUGAUUGACUUUUCUGUAAGAAUCCAAAGUCUGCGGACAUUCUUCCAUUCGAUACUGCUCAAAGUUGUUCCAAAGAAAGUCUACAGUGCUUCAGAUAGGCAUUUCUGCGCAUAAGGAAUUCGAUUGCAAUUAAAGUCUAUGAAACUUCUCUUCUCAAUACAAACUCAUAGACUUGGUGAUAUGUUUGAUUAAAAACUUGAUCUGGAUUCGAUUCUCUAAUGUCACUCAAACGAAGCCACUCAAACAAAUCAGAUCAAAAAUGCUCAUCACUUUUUUUUACAUUAACUCACCGCUCAUAUUGUCUAAGAAUAUGAACCCUCAACCCUCAAAAUUCUGUUUCUAAGAUACGAAGAAUGUUCGAAACAUGCCCAGCUCACUCUGCCGCAGAAGAGAUGAGUUGGUUGAUCUGGAAAUUACAAAUCAAUGUCAAUUUCAAAGAGUUAAGUUGAUGCCCCUUUAAACUGGACAGCUUCGCUAAAGGGAGUCUUAAGCAAUCCCCAGCCUACUUGCCUUGCCAUCAUAAUCCAUGUUACCUAAGGGACUAGGUUGCUUACCUUAUCUAUUUCUAUCCUUCUUAACAAUAAGCUGGCCUCUUUAGCCUUGUUCACAUCAUGUACAUCUAUGAACUUAGUGCCUGCGAAAUAUUUUACCAAGAUUUAGAAGCUCUGUAGCAGUAAAGAUAAGUAAUGCAUGUCGUCAAUCCCUUCUUAUUCCUGCUUAAUGAUGACUAAUAACCUAGGGGUGAAUGCUAUCGGCAAAUUGUAUAUGGCGAUGUCUCAGAAAUACUCCACGUAUUGUAUGAUAAUAAUCUUUCCUCCUUUCUAAAACAGUUAUCGUACUCAUCUACAAUCUCCCAUCGACGCUCAAACUCAUCUUCACAGUUUCAGUGUAUUUUGUUUGAUACCGCGACGGUAUCGCUCAAAAGCUUACAAAACGAACGACACCGCCGACGCUUUUGGAGAGAAAGAAGAUUUUAGGCUACACUAAAAGAGACUAGAUGCCACUGGAAUGUGUCGGCUGACAGGGAACUUGCAAUCAAAAGUUUUAUGGAUGUAUCAAGAAUAACCGGCGGAGCAAGCGAUGAAAUCUAUUGCGCUAACUUAAAUCCUCGACAAUUAUUCAGAGUUCUAGGCUACAGAUUACCACAACAGCUAUACGUCUGGCGAACGGAAUAGUCAAAGUAGAGCAAAAGACACUAGAAAUCACAUGGAGUCCGAGAGAACUGUAGCAUAGUGCAUAAUCUGUGGCUUCUCCUCAUUAUUAUAAGUCCGAUAUUGAUCAACUCUAAAGAAAUGGCUGAUAUUUCAUGAAGAGAUUGGAGAUCAAUAAGCUCUGAUAUGCAGUAACACACCUACAAUGUGCGCAUAUUUACAUAUUUUCGGGAAUUUUAACAAAAAUAAUUCAAUAUAAAUAUGAGUCAGUCAACUACAAUAAACAGAAAUCUGAUUAAUAAAUAUGAUGAUUUCACUUAACGGUAAAGAACGGCAUGAAUGGUCAAUGGCUACAGAGCAUCUAAUCACAAAAAUAAAGUAAAAGCAAACAGGUAUGAGCAGAAGUGCCGAGAGCAAGCUCCGUGACGCUACAAAAGCUGGCAGCAGGCUCUCCCUCGGGGUUGCAUGAACCACUUACUAUUGUGGAAAUUUAAAUGAAACGAAAUUAAUUCAAUGAACUGGAAACUAGCAAAGGUUUGCACCUAAAAUACGUAACGGAUUUAUGGAAUAUUUAUAUUGAUAAAAACUACUUUCAUAAUUAUAAUAAAUUUUUUAUUUUUAAAAACCAAAUUAAUCUAACAGUAUUUAAGGCCAUUAUUUAAUCAAAGAAAUCUUUGGAUGAUUUUUAGUUUUCAA
rnacentral:misc_RNA from 1 species